rnacentral:lncRNA from 1 species
GUCUCGAACUCCUGACCUCAGGUGAUCCACCCGCCUCAGGCUCCCAAAGUGCUGGGAUUACAGGCGUGAGCUGCUGUGCUUAGUCUAAUUUGUUUUAAUUUUUUUUGUGGAGAUAAGAGUCUCACUCUGUUGCCCAGGUUGGUCUUGAACUCCUGGGCAAGAGUUCUUUGGGGAAGGGCGUGGUGGCUCAUGCCUGUAAUCCCACACUUUGGGAGGCUGAGGUGGGUGGAUCACUUGAGGUCAGGAGUUUGAGAUCAGCUUGGCCAACACGGUGAAACCCUGUCAAUACUAAAAAUACAAAAACUAGCCAGGCGUGGUAGUGGGUGCCUGUAAUCCCAGCUACUUGGGAGGCUGAGGCACGAGAAUCUCUUGAACCUGAGACAUGGAGCUUGCAGUGAGCUGAGAUCGUGCCACUGCUCUCCAGCCCGGGUGACAGAGUGAGACUCUGUCUCAAAAAAAUAAAAAAUAAAAAAUAAAAAACAGCAUUCUUUGGGAGGCUAAGCGAUCCUCCUGCUUCAGGC